CGAACGCUGGCGGCGUGCUUAACACAUGCAAGUCGAACGGAAAGGCCCCUUCGGGGGUACUCGAGUGGCGAACGGGUGAGUAACACGUGGGUGAUCUGCCCUGCACUUCGGGAUAAGCCUGGGAAACUGGGUCUAAUACCGGAUAGGACCACGGGAUGCAUGUCCUGUGGUGGAAAGCUUUUGCGGUGUGGGAUGGGCCCGCGGCCUAUCAGCUUGUUGGUGGGGUGACGGCCUACCAAGGCGACGACGGGUAGCCGGCCUGAGAGGGUGUCCGGCCACACUGGGACUGAGAUACGGCCCAGACUCCUACGGGAGGCAGCAGUGGGGAAUAUUGCACAAUGGGCGCAASCUGGAUGCAGCGACGCCGCGUGGGGGAUGACGGCCUUCGGGUUGUAAACCUCUUUCACCAUCGACGAAGGUCCGGGUUUCUCGGAUUGACGGUAGGUGGAGAAGAAGCACCGGCCAACUACGUGCCAGCAGCCGCGGUAAUACGUAGGGUGCGAGCGUUGUCCGGAAUUACUGGGCGUAAAGAGCUCGUAGGUGGUUUGUCGCGUUGUUCGUGAAAUCUCACGGCUUAACUGUGAGCGUGCGGGCGAUACGGGCAGACUGGAGUACUGCAGGGGAGACUGGAAUUCCUGGUGUAGCGGUGGAAUGCGCAGAUAUCAGGAGGAACACCGGUGGCGAAGGCGGGUCUCUGGGCAGUAACUGACGCUGAGGAGCGAAAGCGUGGGGAGCGAACAGGAUUAGAUACCCUGGUAGUCCACGCCGUAAACGGUGGGUACUAGGUGUGGGUUUCCUUCCUUGGGAUCCGUGCCGUAGCUAACGCAUUAAGUACCCCGCCUGGGGAGUACGGCCGCAAGGCUAAAACUCAAAGGAAUUGACGGGGGCCCGCACAAGCGGCGGAGCAUGUGGAUUAAUUCGAUGCAACGCGAAGAACCUUACCUGGGUUUGACAUGCACAGGACGCCGGCAGAGAUGUCGGUUCCCUUGUGGCCUGUGUGCAGGUGGUGCAUGGCUGUCGUCAGCUCGUGUCGUGAGAUGUUGGGUUAAGUCCCGCAACGAGCGCAACCCUUGUCUCAUGUUGCCAGCGGGUAAUGCCGGGGACUCGUGAGAGACUGCCGGGGUCAACUCGGAGGAAGGUGGGGAUGACGUCAAGUCAUCAUGCCCCUUAUGUCCAGGGCUUCACACAUGCUACAAUGGCCGGUACAAAGGGCUGCGAUGCCGCGAGGUUAAGCGAAUCCUUUUAAAGCCGGUCUCAGUUCGGAUCGGGGUCUGCAACUCGACCCCGUGAAGUCGGAGUCGCUAGUAAUCGCAGAUCAGCAACGCUGCGGUGAAUACGUUCCCGGGCCUUGUACACACCGCCCGUCAAUCACUAGUC
rnacentral:rRNA from 1 species